rnacentral:rRNA from 1 species
UACGGAGGGUGCGAGCGUUAAUCGGAAUUACUGGGCGUAAAGUGUGCGCAGGCGGCCGAGCAAGUCGAGUGUGAAAGCCCCGAGCUUAACUUGGGAACUGCGCUCGAAACUACUUGGCUAGAGUGUGGCAGAGGGAGGUGGAAUUCCACGUGUAGCGGUGAAAUGCGUAGAGAUGUGGAGGAACACCGAUGGCGAAGGCAGCCUCCUGGGCCAACACUGACGCUCAUGCACGAAAGCGUGGGGAGCAAACAGG